AAGGCUGUUAGGGUUUAUCGUUUGGAUUUCUGACUUUUGGGGGUGUGACUUUUCCCCUGUAUUUCUUUGGGCUCUGAUUUCAGAUGGCUGGUGACCAGAUGACAAGAAUCUAAUGUUUUGCUUGUGGAUAUUCUUGAACCUUGUGCCUGCUCCUGGCUCCUUUACCAGUGGGAAGUUUGGGAGGCAGAAAAGGGAAGAGAAAUGCAGACCAGUUUGCACUGGGGCAUCUGUGGUCAUCUUGUGGUUAAGGAGCUUACUCCAGAAUAAAAGCACUGCAGUAAGAAAGUCUAAGCUGACCUCCACACUGCUUGGUGACCAAGAUGCUCUGCAGGUUGCAGAUAGGCAGCAGGCCUUUGACAUGCUUUGGCUCUAAGUGACACUCUAAGGUCUUGAUUGAAACCCUUGAAGCUGGUUUAAGGAGGGUAGAGGGAGAAGAAACUAUAUUUUCAAUAAAAG
rnacentral:lncRNA from 1 species